AAUGAGAUAGGUGUGUAGUAACACUAGAUUUUUGUAUUGCAGAUUCAUCAAAAUUAGGGGGUUCUACAAGCAUUUACUGAAUUCAUCGAAGAAAAAAAAGAUUGUACUUCAAAGAGCUGCACAAGUAAAGAUGUACUCUCUGCAUACAUCAGGAUUGUCUAUUCUGAUUUGACAUCAAAUGGAGUCUUGGGGUUGAUCUUGGUCUGUGCUUAAACUGAAAUUAUAAGUAAGUGAAAUCAUGGUGCUUAUUGUUUCCAUAUGGUUUCCAUAAAAUGAUGAAAAUAGGAAAGGUUCCCUCUACUGAGGUUGUUUACCCACAACACAACCAUGCUGUAGAUUUUCUUCUGAGGAAUAUGGAAAUGCAUGGACAGCAAUGUUGUGUAAAUGUACUAAAUAGCUUUUGUAUUUUCAGGAAAAAUAUGGGAAAA